rnacentral:sRNA from 1 species
CAUCUGUUUCAUUAGAAACAUCGGUCAAUUCGAUAAUACAACUUGAAAAAGGAAAACAUUUCAAUGAUCAAGGCGAUUACUCUUCAAACACCCCUAAUCUAAGUAACACAGAUGAGAGCUUUGCUUUUGCUUUAGAUUCCGUGACGAGAGAUCCUCCAACGUCAUUGCUAAAUUCAUCGAAAUCCAUAGAAAUUAUUGGGAGCUCAAGCGUAUCUUUUGAAUGCAAAUAAAUUAAAAGCACAGUCAAAUGAUAUGUAAAAAACUUUGACAAUAUGCAAUACUCUAAGACUUAGAGACAGUUGUUAUCUGAUUUAUUAACAACUCACUGCCAUACAAGUGAUUGUAUAAGUGGUUAAGUCUUAACCCUGAUUUGCAUUGUACUGGCAUUUGUUUGAAAUGAACUGUGGAUGUGCAGCAUAGAUCCCAAAAAUAAAAUUUAAGUGAUUCAUUUUAAAUAAACAGCGAAUAACCCUUCAUUAAGUAAAAUACACUAAAAAUGUUAAAAAAAAUUUUGUUUCGUGUUGCGAAUUUACACCAGUGUAAUAAAUAAAAUCUUUCAAUUGAAGUUUCAUUUAAAUUUUUGUUUACAGUGACUUACUGAAUAUCUGCUUUUAUUUUGGGUAUUCAAAAGGGUCAAUAUAAGCGGAAGAAUUGGCUUUAUCUUGAUUUGUACACUGACGACAAUAAAUUUAAAGUGACUUACUGAAUAUCUGCUUUUAUUUUGGGUGUUCAAAAGGGUCAAUAUAAGCGGAAGAAUUGGCUUUAUCUUGAUUUGUACACUGACGACAAUAAAUUUAAAGCUCGAUACUUGGCCAAUUCCGGGUUCACAAAGCUCGAUAAAUUUUCAAGUGGCUUGGAGAUUAUGGUGGCCACUAGAGGUCUGCA